GAGUGGCGAACUGGUGAGUAACACGUGGGAAACCUGCCCAGAAGCGGGGGAUAACACCUGGAAACAGAUGCUAAUACCGCAUAACAACUUGGACCGCAUGGUCCGAGUUUGAAAGAUGGCUUCGGCUAUCACUUUUGGAUGGUCCCGCGGCGUAUUAGCUAGAUGGUGAGGUAACGGCUCACCAUGGCAAUGAUACGUAGCCGACCUGAGAGGGUAAUCGGCCACAUUGGGACUGAGACACGGCCCAAACUCCUACGGGAGGCAGCAGUAGGGAAUCUUCCACAAUGGACGAAAGUCUGAUGGAGCAACGCCGCGUGAGUGAAGAAGGGUUUCGGCUCGUAAAACUCUGUUGUUAAAGAAGAACAUAUCUGAGAGUAACUGUUCAGGUAUUGACGGUAUUUAACCAGAAAGCCACGGCUAACUACGUGCCAGCAGCCGCGGUAAUACGUAGGUGGCAAGCGUUGUCCGGAUUUAUUGGGCGUAAAGCGAGCGCAGGCGGUUUUUUAAGUCUGAUGUGAAAGCCUUCGGCUCAACCGAAGAAGUGCAUCGGAAACUGGGAAACUUGAGUGCAGAAGAGGACAGUGGAACUCCAUGUGUAGCGGUGAAAUGCGUAGAUAUAUGGAAGAACACCAGUGGCGAAGGCGGCUGUCUGGUCUGUAACUGACGCUGAGGCUCGAAAGUAUGGGUAGCAAACAGGAUUAGAUACCCUGGUAGUCCAUACCGUAAACGAUGAAUGCUAAGUGUUGGAGGGUUUCCGCCCUUCAGUGCUGCAGCUAACGCAUUAAGCAUUCCGCCUGGGGAGUACGGCCGCAAGGCUGAAACUCAAAGGAAUUGACGGGGGCCCGCACAAGCGGUGGAGCAUGUGGUUUAAUUCGAAGCUACGCGAAGAACCUUACCAGGUCUUGACAUACUAUGCAAAUCUAAGAGAUUAGACGUUCCCUUCGGGGACAUGGAUACAGGUGGUGCAUGGUUGUCGUCAGCUCGUGUCGUGAGAUGUUGGGUUAAGUCCCGCAACGAGCGCAACCCUUAUUAUCAGUUGCCAGCAUUAAGUUGGGCACUCUGGUGAGACUGCCGGUGACAAACCGGAGGAAGGUGGGGAUGACGUCAAAUCAUCAUGCCCCUUAUGACCUGGGCUACACACGUGCUACAAUGGAUGGUACAACGAGUUGCGAACUCGCGAGAGUAAGCUAAUCUCUUAAAGCCAUUCUCAGUUCGGAUUGUAGGCUGCAACUCGCCUACAUGAAGUCGGAAUCGCUAGUAAUCGCGGAUCAGCAUGCCGCGGUGAAUACGUUCCCGGGCCUUGUACACACCGCCCGUCACACCAUGAGAGUUUGUAACACCCAAAGUCGGUGGGGUAACCUUUUAGGAACCAGCCGCC
rnacentral:rRNA from 1 species